rnacentral:rRNA from 1 species
UACGGGGGGCGCAAGCGUUGUUCGGAUUUACUGGGCGUAAAGGGCGCGUAGGCGGCUGUGCAAGUCAGUUGUGAAAUCUCCGGGCUUAACUCGGAACGGUCAACUGAUACUGCUCGGCUAGAGUGCGGAAGGGGCAACUGGAAUUCUUGGUGUAGCGGUGAAAUGCGUAGAUAUCAAGAGGAACACCUGCGGCGAAGGCGGGUUGCUGGGCCGACACUGACGCUGAUGCGCGAAAGCCAGGGGAGCGAACGGG